rnacentral:rRNA from 1 species
AGACGCAGAGAACUGAAACAUCUUAGUACCUGCAGGAAGAGAAAGAAAAUUCGAUUCCCUGAGUAGCGGCGAGCGAAACGGGAAGAGCCCAAACCAACAAGCUUGCUUGUUGGGGUUGUAGGACUCUAAUAUGGUAGUCUGUUAGUAUAGUUGAAGGAUUUGGAAAAUUCCGCUAAAGAGGGUGAAAGCCCCGUAGACGAAAUGCUGACAACACCUAGGAGGAUCCUGAGUACGGCGGAACACGAGAAAUUCCGUCGGAAUCCGCGGGGACCAUCCCGCAAGGCUAAAUACUCCCUAGUGACCGAUAGUGAACCAGUACCGUGA